UUGUCACUUCCGACCAAACCUGAGAAGGAACCCUAGCAAGCCUAAGGAGGUUCAGUUCCCAACCCGUCUGUACCUGAGCGACCACUCGCUACUUAGAUUUUAUCCCUUUAAGAAGGGCAGAGCAGGAGACAAGAAAAAAUGGACUCUGUUGCCACUUGAUCAGGAACUGUGGAAUAGUCUUCCAAACCACCUGGAUGGAAUAGAAAUAUCUACAAGCGUCAUCCAAGGCACUGCCCGUAAGAAUUAGCAAUGCAGACAUGGACAUGAACCUGGAAAUUUCCACCACAACAACAAAAGUUUUUUUUAAAAAGAUAGUAAAAGAAAUUAGGGAGGUUCUCUGCAAGCUGUCCUGAUUUCAUGGGGUUUAAGUGCAUUUCUUCUAUAUAUUAAUCAAUCAAUGAAUCGUAUUUAAUGAGCUCUUACUGAGUGCAGAGCACUGUACUAUAUAUAUAUUACAGAGCUGAUAAACAUGUUCGCUGCACACAAUGAGCUCACAGCCUAGCGGGUAUUCAAUUGUGUCCUUCAUUAUAAAUCAUCUUAGCACGCAAGUUCCACAACAAAACUGUGCAAUUCUAAAGAGGCCUGCUCCUUAUUUUAGAACUUAGCUUAAGGAAGUCUAUACAUGUACAUACAACAUUAAAAUUGAGGCACUAGAGUGCACUGAGCCCUAAUAGACAGGAGCUUGGCCAACCAGUACCAAAAGGAAUUUCCCAUCCCAUGAAAAUCUAGGUAAACCCCCAAAGUAAAAUCAAAACCAAGAGCCUGAGAA
rnacentral:lncRNA from 1 species